CCUGCCCAAGAGAUCGGGAUAACACCUGGAAACAGAUGCUAAUACCGGAUAACAAUAGAUGAUGCCUAUCAACUGUUUAAAAGAUGGUUCUGCUAUCACUCUUGGAUGGACCUGCGGUGCAUUAGCUAGUUGGUAGGGUAACGGCCUACCAAGGCGAUGAUGCAUAGCCGAGUUGAGAGACUGAUCGGCCACAUUGGGACUGAGACACGGCCCAAACUCCUACGGGAGGCAGCAGAU
rnacentral:rRNA from 1 species